AAGGUAUGGUGAGGACACUAUCUAAUCAUCUCCUUGAAUCUCUCCUAACCUUCAUAAAUAGAUUCUCCUUCUAACGAAAUAAAAGAAGUAAUAUAAUUUCUAGGUUU